UACGGGGGGGGCAAGCGUUGUUCGGAAUUACUGGGCGUAAAGGGUUCGUAGGUGGCUCGCUAAGUCAGACGUGAAAUCCCUCAGCUUAACUGGGGAACUGCGUCUGAGACUGAUGAGCUCGAGUGCAGGAGAGGAACGCGGAAUUCCAGGUGUAGCGGUGAAAUGCGUAGAUAUCUGGAGGAACACCGGUGGCGAAGGCGGCGUUCUGGACUGCAACUGACACUGAGAAACGAAAGCCAGGGUAGCAAACGGG
rnacentral:rRNA from 1 species